rnacentral:rRNA from 1 species
AGAGUUUGAUCCUGGCUCAGGAUGAACGCUAGCUACAGGCUUAACACAUGCAAGUCGAGGGGAAACGAUAUUGGAAGCUUGCUUCCGAUAGGCGUCGACCGGCGCACGGGUGAGUAACGCGUAUCCAACCUGCCCAUCACUUGGGAAUAACCUUGCGAAAGUAAGACUAAUGCCCAAUGACAUUUAUAGAAGGCAUCGGAAAUGAAUUAAAGAUUUAUUGGUGAUGGAUGGGGAUGCGUCUGAUUAGCUUGUUGGCGGGGUAACGGCCCACCAAGGCGACGAUCAGUAGGGGUUCUGAGAGGAAGGUCCCCCACAUUGGAACUGAGACACGGUCCAAACUCCUACGGGAGGCAGCAGUGAGGAAUAUUGGUCAAUGGGCGAGAGCCUGAACCAGCCAAGUAGCGUGCAGGAUGACGGCCCUAUGGGUUGUAAACUGCUUUUAUAGGGGAAUAAAGUGAGCCACGUGUGGUUUUUUGCAUGUACCCUAUGAAUAAGGACCGGCUAAUUCCGUGCCAGCAGCCGCGGUAAUACGGAAGGUCCGGGCGUUAUCCGGAUUUAUUGGGUUUAAAGGGAGCGUAGGCCGGAGAUUAAGCGUGUUGUGAAAUGUAGAUGCUCAACAUCUGCACUGCAGCGCGAACUGGUUUCCUUGAGUACGCAUAAAGUGGGCGGAAUUCGUGGUGUAGCGGUGAAAUGCUUAGAUAUCACGAAGAACUCCGAUUGCGAAGGCAGCUCACUGGGGCGCAACUGACGCUGAAGCUCGAAAGCGCGGGUAUCGAACAGGAUUAGAUACCCUGGUAGUCCGCGCGGUAAACGAUGGAUGCCCGCUGUUGGGCCAACUGGUUCAGCGGCCAAGCGGAAGCAUUAAGCAUCCCACCUGGGGAGUACGCCGGCAACGGUGAAACUCAAAGGAAUUGGCGGGGGCCCGCACAAGCGGAGGAACAUGUGGUUUAAUUCGACGCAACGCGAAGAACCUUACCAGGGCUUGACAUUGAGUGAAAGGACAAGAGAUUGUCCCCUCUCUUCGGAGACACGAAAACAGGUGGUGCAUGGCUGUCGUCAGCUCGUGUCGUGAGAUGUUGGGUUAAGUCCCGCAACGAGCGCAACCCUUAUCCUUUGUUGCCAGCACGUUAUGGUGGGAACUCAAAGGAGACUGCCGCGGACAACGCGGAGGAAGGCGGGGAUGACGUCAAGUCAUCAUGCCCCUUAUGUCCUGGGCUACACACGUACUACAAUGGGAUGGACAGAGAGCAGCGAAGCCGCGAGGCCAAGCGAACCCCAUAAACCAUCUCCCAGUUCGGAUUGCAGGCUGCAACCCGCCUGCAUGAAGUUGGAAUCGCUAGUAAUCGCAGGUCAGCAUACUGCGGUGAAUACGUUCCCGGGCCUUGUACACACCGCCCGUCACACCACGGAAGUCAUUCACACCCGAAGCCGGCAGGCUAACCUUUUGGAGGCAGCCGUCUAAGGUGGGGGCGAUGACUGGGGUGAAGUCGUAACAAGGUA